rnacentral:misc_RNA from 1 species
UCCUCGAAACGUAAUACGCAGAUAUAUCCGUAAAAUAUAAUAACACGCCUAGGAAACUGCACUUGAGAGAAAAUUUCUUUCUUUGCUGAUCAACUUGACUAGGAGAUAUUGGCCCGCCGAGGUACAAAAAUGUUUGACGGGCAGCGAAACAUAUUUUACGUGCGAGAAGUUCCACCGUGGACAAAAAUUUCAGAGCCCAAGAGGUUUGAAACGUAGAAUUGCCGGCGAAUGUAUAUCUAUACCUGAAUCCUCUUCUGAAACUUUCUACGAAUUGUAACUAUGGAGCAGUAUUUCCGGCACACUUUAGCAGAAACUCGACUCUCU